AGUGGUGUGACUCAGUGGUAGAGUACCUGUCUUUUAUCCAAGAGGCCCUGGGUUCAGUCCCUAGUACCACAG
rnacentral:tRNA from 1 species